GAUGAACGCUGGCGGCGUGCUUAACACAUGCAAGUCGAGCGAAGCAGUUAAGUUGAUUUCUUCGGAUUGAUUCUUGACUGACUGAGCGGCGGACGGGUGAGUAACGCGUGGGUGACCUGCCCCAUACCGGGGGAUAACAGCUGGAAACGGCUGCUAAUACCGCAUAAGCGCACAGAGCUGCAUGGCUCGGUGUGAAAAACUCCGGUGGUAUGGGAUGGGCCCGCGUCUGAUUAGGCAGUUGGCGGGGUAACGGCCCACCAAACCGACGAUCAGUAGCCGGCCUGAGAGGGCGACCGGCCACAUUGGGACUGAGACACGGCCCAAACUCCUACGGGAGGCAGCAGUGGGGAAUAUUGCACAAUGGGGGAAACCCUGAUGCAGCGACGCCGCGUGAGCGAAGAAGUAUUUCGGUAUGUAAAGCUCUAUCAGCAGGGAAGAUAAUGACG
rnacentral:rRNA from 1 species